CCUACGGGAGGCAGCAGUGGGGAAUAUUGCACAAUGGGGGAAACCCUGAUGCAGCAACGCCGCGUGAAGGAAGACGGUUUUCGGAUUGUAAAAUUCUGUUCUUAGUGAAGAAUAAUGACGGUAGCUAAGGAGCAAGCCACGGCUAACUACGUGCCAGCAGCCGCGGUAAUACGUAGGUGGCAAGCGUUGUCCGGAAUUACUGGGUGGAAAGGGAGCGCAGGCGGGAAGCCAAGUCAGCUGUGAAAGCUACGGGCUUAACUUGUAGACUGCAGUUGAUACUGGUUUUCUUGAGUGAAGUAGAGGUUGGCGGAAUUCGUGGUGUAGCGGUGAAAUGCGUAGAUAUCCGGAGGAACACCGGUGGCGAAGGCGGCCAACUAGGCUUUAACUGACGCUGAGGCUCGAAAGUGUGGGGAGCAAACAGGAUUAGAUACCCCUGUAGUC
rnacentral:rRNA from 1 species